rnacentral:rRNA from 1 species
UGGCGGCAAUAGCGCGGUGGUCCCACCUGACCCCAUGCCGAACUCAGAAGUGAAACGCCGUGCGCCGAUGGUAGUGUGGGGUCUCCCCAUGCGAGAGUAGGACACUGCCAGGUA